rnacentral:rRNA from 1 species
UGGCUCAGGACGAACGCUGGCGGCGUGCUUAACACAUGCAAGUCGAACGGGAGUAUUGAAGAAGCUUGCUUAGAGAUACUUUAGUGGCGGACGGGUGAGUAACGCGUGAGGAGCUGUCCUAUGCAGGGGGACAACAGCUGGAAACGGCUGCUAAUACCCCAUAAGCCGAGAGGUAAAAGGAUCAAUCCGGCAGAGGAGGUACUCGCGUCCUAUCAGCUAGUAGGUGAGGUAACGGCUCACCUAGGCGAAGACGGGUAGCCGGCCUGAGAGGGCGAACGGCCACACUGGAACUGAGAUACGGUCCAGACUCCUACGGGAGGCAGCAGUGGGGAAUAUUGGGCAAUGGGGGGAAAAACCCCCUGACCCAGCGACGCCGCGUGGGUGAAGAAAUCCUUCGGGAUGUAAAGCCCUGUUGUAUGGGAAGAGCGGAAGACGGUACCAUACGAGGAAGCCCCGGCAAACUACGUGCCAGCAGCCGC